GAUGAACGCUGGCGGCGUGCUUAACACAUGCAAGUCGAACGAUGAAGCCCAGCUUGCUGGGUGUAUUCGUGGCGAACGGGUGAGUGACACGUGAGUAACCUCCCCUUAACUCUGGGAUAAGCCUUGGAAACUGUGUCUAAUACCGGAUAUAAGCGUCCAUCGCAUGGUGGGUGUUGGAAAGAUUUAUCGGUUUUGGAUGGACUCGCGGCCUAUCAGCUUGUUGGUGGGGUAGUGGCUCACCAAGGCGAUGACGGGUAGCCGGCCUGAGAGGGUGACCGGCCACACUGGGACUGAGACACGGCCCAGACUCCUACGGGAGGCAGCAGUGGGGAAUAUUGCACAAUGGGCGCAAGCCUGAUGCAGCAACGCCGCGUGAGGGAUGACGGCCUUCGGGUUGUAAACCUCUUUCACUAGGGAAGAAGCGAAAGUGACGGUACUUGCAGAAGAAGCACCGGCUAACUACGUG
rnacentral:rRNA from 1 species